rnacentral:snRNA from 1 species
AAAUAUCUCUUCUUUUUUUUAAA